CCCAUCCCUACAGAGUGUUGCAGCAUAUUGUAGAGCACGCUGAGUUGUCUCAUUAACAUGACAAAACAACUGAAAGUUGAUUCUUCACACUGAACUAAUGCUGAUUAUGGAUGUACGCAGAUAAAGAUGUUUGCAAAUUCAAAGCACAGUGACAUUUUUUCCACAAUAGUCAAAAGAAUCUGCUCAGAGGUGAAUUUUACUACAUUUCAUAUCCUAUGCCUUUUUUUUUUUUAACAGAUGGCCCAUGUUAAAAUUAACAGUGUCUUUAGGGGUUACAAACUACAUGACAAUGCAUUAUAAUAAAAGCAAACUGGUAAAAUCAUUCAUACUGUGAUGACGAUAGCGGAGAUGAACACACUGAGGGGAACACUUAGCUUUGUUGUAGCAUCAAAAGAACUCAAUCCUUCAAAAAAGAAGAAGAAGAA